rnacentral:hammerhead_ribozyme from 1 species
GUACUGAUGAAGAGUCCAAAACCAGGACGAAACAAACAGCUGUCCAGUAC